CGGACGAAAUAGGAUUACGGGUCGUACGGGGCUAAUAUCGAUUUCAAUAAGAAAAUAAUUGUCUUAAAGCAUCUAAUGUGUAAAUAAUGUGAGAUUCUACAUGUUUUGUGCCCAGUGUAGAGCUGUUUUAAAACGUACGUUAUUAUGAUUCGUUUCAUAAAUUAUGUUAAACAUUUUUUUCUGCAAUUUGGUGAUGAAAGGUUUAAACUUUAAUAUUUUGCAGUCUCGAUGUGAAUUCCGUUCAAAAUUGAUGUAAUAAUUUAUACAAAAGACGCUGCUUACAUGAAGUUUCCAACAGAUGGCCGGUGUAAAUAACAUAUUCAACUAUAAUAAUGGUGCUGUGUGACGUAUCAAGCGAAUUAUUUUAAAUUUUAGUUCUUACGUUUAGUUGUUAUUAAAAUUAAAUUAAUUUAUUGAAAAUUUUGUAAUUAUUGAAUUAAAUUU